rnacentral:tRNA from 2 species
CAAGAAGUAGCUUAAACCACCUUAAAGUAUUCAACUUACACUUGAACGAUGUCCCCAAAGACCUUCUUGA